rnacentral:rRNA from 1 species
GAUGAACGCUGGCGGCGUGCCUAAUACGUGCAAGUCGAGCGAACGGACGAGAAGCUUGCUUUUCUGAUGUUAGCGGCGGACGGGUGAGUAACACGUGGAUAACCUACCUAUAAGACUGGGAUAACUUCGGGAAACCGGAGCUAAUACCGGAUAAUAUUUUGAACCGCAUGGUUCAUAAGUGAAAGACGGUCUUGCUGUCACUUAUAGAUGGAUCCGCGCUGCAUUAGCUAGUUGGUAAGGUAACGGCUUACCAAGGCAACGAUGCAUAGCCGACCUGAGAGGGUGAUCGGCCACACUGGAACUGAGACACGGUCCAGACUCCUACGGGAGGCAGCAGUAGGGAAUCUUCCGCAAUGGGCGAAAGCCUGACGGAGCAACGCCGCGUGAGUGAUGAAGGUCUUCGGACCGUAAAACUCUGUUAUUAGGGAAGAACAUAUGUGUAAGUAACUGUGCACAUCUUGACGGUACCUAAUCAGAAAGCCACGGCUAACUACGUG